AAGAAAACGUUUUAACACUGAAUUUGUUGUCUUGGUAGAUGACAACAGUUUGUGAUAUUAAGAGUCAUCAAGUAACCAUCACAACCUUGUCCUUGAUUAAAGCACUUGAGUACUUCACAAUGUAAGGUAUUGGAAAUCACAUUCCUGUAUUGUUGUCUAAACAUAACACACAUUCGAAAUUAAGCAGUUUUACACUUAUUAACACUAUUUCAAUGUGCAACUCUCAUUGGUUCUCGCCGCCUAUCACAAGCUCCAUGUCAAAUUUCUCUUUCACCCCUCCUAACACAUGGCAAUAAUUCUCGUUAGAUAUGGUUCCAGAAAUAACAACAUACCAUUGCAAGGACAAAGAAAGUCAUGGGAUGUGACAGGCAAUGGGACACACACACUCUCUCUUCCUCUUAGCCUUUCUUACUCUUCCUGUCUCCUCUCUCUCUCUUUCGAGCUUUCAGGGAUGUGUGCUCCCUGAGGGCUCUGCUAGCCCUCUUUUCUCCUCACUCAUUUACACCAGCACAGAUGCAUGCUGGAAUUGAUAACAUGGACACCUCCUCUUAUCUUGUUUUACAGUAGUCUUUUCAGUAGGAGUCCUUUGUCACCGACUGGCAGAGAGCAAAGGGAUGUCACAGGAUGUUCUUAUACAGAAUGUUUGACAGCCGCCGGCAUGACGAAUGUGAUAGAUGAUGUGUUGAAACCAGUACAAGGCUGUUGCCGAGGGGACCGGUGUUGGGAAGUGCUGCCGUGGCGACAGUAAGAAGCCAUGCGUUUCUGCGAUAGAUGGCUGAAGGAAACAGGAAGAGUUGGCCAUUCUUGCUCGCCGGCUUCUGGAGACAGUAGGAACGCUCCGUUGAUGAAUCGCAAAUAAAUGAUCAGGGUCUGGCACAUGAAAGAGCAUGGGGGAGAAAUGAGGAGGGAGCGAGAAACAAAGAGAGAAAGAAUCCUUUUAAGCAAACCAUGUCAGACUUUGGUCUUUGACUUUGGUCGAGACUAAUGAUCGGUCUGAUAUGAGAAAGUAAUUGGUGUCUAGGGAUGUUCGACUACAAUACGUAACAUAAUCGGCAGCCAGACGAGCCGAUGUUUAGUUGGGAAGACCAUGCACGUAACGCAUACCGUGAAAGGCAAUUAUAACUAAGGAUGUGACAUUCGAAUAAUGCACUGUCCAAUUCCAAGGGCAGGAAUUGGCAAGCAAUUACGAUAGGCAGAAGCGUAUGUAGUCUUAUUCUGUGUUUAAAUACAAUCAUGAAAUUGCUUGUGUUUAUACCAAAAGAUGAGAAGAGUAUUAACUAAGAUUGUCGACUGUGUUAGCACAUGUGUGCUGAGGUUACAAGGGCUGAUUCGAGUGUACAGUUCCUGCAUGAUCAUAUUGCAAAGAGAGGUAAUUUGGUGUAUUUGCUGAUCGUCCAUAUUUGAUACUUUACAUCAUCACAUAUUAUUGUAACAUCAUCAAUAUGUCUUCUAGUUGCAUUUCAUGCUGUAUUCCCAGAGUCAGUAUCAAUAUUAUUGACUUUUACGUGGAGAGCAAGAAAUGUCGAAAAAUGUGUUUGAAAUAGCCUACAUAGAAUUAGAAUUGUCUUUAUAGAUAUCAAGAUUGAGUAUAUUAGUGUAUAUACACAAGGCAAGGCAAGUUUAUUUAUAUAGCACAUUUCAUACACAAUGGUUAUUCAAAGUGCUUUACAUAAAAAUAAUUAAAAUAAUCAUCUUAAAUAAUCACAACAAUAAAACAAGGAAUUUAAAAACCUUUAAAAUUAUUUAAAAAAAAUGAUUUAAAGUUAAUUAAAACAGUUUAGAAUAAACUGAUUAUACAUGAAAUAUAGUGCAGUCAGUUCGGACAAGGCACAGUGCUCAUUCAGUAAUAUUAGUGUGUACGUACAUAAGAUACUAAUAUAUACAUAUAGGCUGCUUCAAAAGUUUAUUUUUUUCUGAAUUGACUAGGCCUAUUUAUAGUUAUGUGUUUCAGUAAAAUGAUCUUUUUUUUUUAUUGAACUGGUAACAAAUUUCUCCCAAAUUCUAAAUGAAAAGAUUGUUUACUACAUUUAUUUGCUGUUCAAAAUAAGAAAUGAGAUGCAAUGUUUGCAGAUCUUGAAUAUUGCAAAAAAAGUUCUUAUUCAAGUUACUAAUGUAUUUAGGAAUGUUUAACUUGUAUUCUUACAUUGCUGUUGGGUUUGUUUUUGUUGAAAUUCAACAGACACUG